UCCCUCUCGUGAACAUAAUAGAGCUGGUCAAC
rnacentral:piRNA from 1 species